GAUGAACGCUGGCGGCGUGCCUAAUACAUGCAAGUCGAGCGAACAGACGAGGAGCUUGCUCCUCUGACGUUAGCGGCGGACGGGUGAGUAACACGUGGAUAACCUACCUAUAAUACUGGGAUAACUUCGGGAAACCGGAGCUAAUACCGGAUAAUAUAUUGAACCGCAUGGUUCAAUAGUGAAAGACGGUUUUGCUGUCACUUAUAGAUGGAUCCGCGCCGCAUUAGCUAGUUGGUAAGGUAACGGCUUACCAAGGCAACGAUGCGUAGCCGACCUGAGAGGGUGAUCGGCCACACUGGAACUGAGACACGGUCCAGACUCCUACGGGAGGCAGCAGUAGGGAAUCUUACGCAAUGGGGGAAAGCUUGACGGAGCAACGCGGCGUGAGUGAUGAAGGUCUUCGGAUCGUAAAACUCUGUUAUUAGGGAAGAACAAAUGUGUAAGUAACUAUGCACGUCUUGACGGUACCUAAUCAGAAAGCCACGGCUAACUACGUG
rnacentral:rRNA from 1 species